rnacentral:rRNA from 1 species
UACAUAGCUUAAUGAGGGGAACUCAGGGAACUGAAACAUCUAAGUACCUGAAGGAAGAGAAAGAAAUUCGAUUCCGUAAGUAGCGGCGAGCGAACGCGGAUUAGCCCAAACCAAUAAAGUUUUCUUUAUUGGGGUUGCGGACAUAUCAUAACGAAGAGGUAUCGUAAUUGAAGAGGUUUGGAAAGACCCACCACAGAAGGUAAUAGUCCUGUAUGUUAAACGAGAAGACUUUAGAUAUGAUCCAGAGUACCACGGGACACGUGAAACCCUGUGGGAAGCAGGAGGGACCACCCUCCAAGGCUAAAUACUACCUAGUGACCGAUAGCGUAUAGUACCGUGAGGGAAAGGUGAAAAGAACCCCGGGAGGGGAGUGAAAUAGAACCUGAAACCCUGCACUUACAAGCUGUGGAAGCACAUUUCUUGUGUGACCGCGUACUUUUUGUAGAACGGGCCAACGAGUUACGUUAAGUAGCAAGGUUAAGCACUUAAGGUGUGGAGCCGUAGCGAAAGCGAGUUUUAACUGAGCGUUCAGUUACUUGACGUAGACCCGAAACCGGGCGACCUACCCAUGGGCAGGAUGAAGCGAAAGUAAAAUUUCGUGGAGGUCCGAACCCACGGGCGUUGAAAAGCUCGGGGAUGACGUGUGGGUAGCGGUGAAA